rnacentral:lncRNA from 1 species
UGGUUAAGGCUCAAACAAAGAUAGCAAAUAAAGGUCUUCGGGUAGAGAAAAAAAAACGCGAGAAUAGAAAAAUGGAAAAGGGUUUGCCCUUAUCAUUUUAAUGCAUAAAAUGCCAUAAUGUGGCUUUAACAUGCAUAACAAAGCAAGUUCUAGAAUAAACAAACUAAGAUUGAUAUUCACAUAACAAAAAUAUUAGAGCAAAGUGGUUGCUCAUAGGCUCAAAUCCUCAUAAAGUUGGUAAAUUUGCCAUCAAAUCAUGUACACUCUUCAAAUGAAUCAACCAUCAAUAGUGGUAUAGAAUGAGAAGAAGGUAUAAGUGAUAUAUAAAAGGAAAGGUAAAAAUGAUAAGAAGUGAGAAAGAUGUAUGUAGUAAUAUGAAAAGUGAAAGAUAAAAUGUGAGUGAUGAUAGAGUAUGAUAGAAUAAAAAUAGAUGUAAAUAAUUUGAUAUAGAUGGGAAAAGAGUAGUGAGAAAGAAAAGAAAAGAAAAAAUAAUAUAUGAAGCAUACUAACUCCAAAAUCAUUUAAGGAUGAGUAGAGUGAAAAUACUACUUCCAGACAUCAAUAAUGCAAAAAUCCCUCCCCCACACCAAGAACUUACAUUGUCCCUAAUGUAAGAUAAUCAAAGCUCACAUAAAAAUUAAAGCGUAAGGAUAAAAGAUUAAAGACAAAAAAAACUUUCCUGAAUUGUGAGCUUUGAUCCACAUAACGUCCAUGGGCUUGGGGGAAAUGGUGGGAUAAAUCCCACACUCUCGAAGCAAUCAAUAAUGGUAUUAAUUCUUGAACCAGUGGAAAGCAAUUAAUUUUCUUCAUUUGUUUUCUUGCUUGGCUGUGAAACAGCCCAUUUGCGGCUGAACACAGAAUCUGUUUUUUGUUUCUUUGUUGUUUUUUGUGAAUAUUUGGCUUAAUUUACAAUUCAUGGCAUGUCUGAAAAUGGGUCGAUGAAUCUGUUAAAAAUUGGACUCAGAUCUAAAUCAGAUUUAUCCAUGAUACAAUCAAGAGGAUUCAACAUUUGAUUUUUAUUUUUCUUUUCGCCACCCCCGUAUGUAAUUUUGGUUGGAGGACUUGGUUGUUAGGAAUUGACAACUACUGAAUUUUUUUUUUCCUUUAAACAACAGAGGCCGCAAUUUCAAUUUGAAGACUUCGUUUAUAAGAAUUGACAAUGGUUGAUUCUUUAAAUAGAAGAUGCCUUGGAAUUCCGCGUCGUUGACAUGUAGUUGAUAUUUAAAACAUAUUGGAUGUUAGGGCUUAGAAUGUUUGAGGUCGGAAUUCUUAUUAAGAAAAUUCCUCUGCUGCUUGCAACAUAAUCGAAGCUGUAAGUCCUAUGCUAUGCAGUUCUCUUUAUUUUCAUUUUUGUUUUUGAAUUUUCAGAAUUAAUAUGAAGAAAAACAUCAUUUAUUUCCAAAACAGAACCAUUAUCAAGUUUCAUAUUUUUGUACAGGUAAACUUUGGUCUUUGAGAAAUAUUUGCGUCUACAACUCUUGAUUAAUUUUAGUUUUAGUUUAGUUUAGUUUUAUUUUUUUUCCCCUAAGGUGGAGAUGAGAUGAGAAACCUCAUUCACUAAAAACCAAAAACUUAGUUUUGUAAAGUUUUAUUUUUUUCCCCCUAAUGCUGGUGGUCUUCCAUUAGCUCUGAAGGUUCUGGGCUCAUUUUUGUUUGGUAGAACUAUAGCUGAACAGGAAAGUGCACUACAAUGACUACAAAGAGGUCCUGAAAGUGAGAUUCUUCAUGUACUUCAAAUAAGUUUUGAUGGGUCAAAAGAAAAAGAAAAAAGAAUAUUUCUCAAUAUUGCAUGUUUCUAUGAGGGAAGUAUAGAGAUUAUAAGGGUGUUCAGAAUCUAAUCCGAUCCGCUCAAUCCGAUCCGUAUAAAUCCGAUCUGUGGAUUGGUGGAUUGGAUAUGGAUUGAAAAUUUAAAAAUCCGCAGUCGAUGGAUUGGAUAUGGAUUUACUUAUGUAAAUCCGCAAAAAUACGUGAAUCCGUCAAUAUAUAUAUAUAUAUAUAUAAUUUAAUUUAAAAAAUUAUAAAUGUGAGAUUACAUAGUUACAUAAGCACUAUAACAUAUCUUAGCCAUUACCUAAUAAUAAUAUAAAAUGAAAAAUAAUUAAAUAAUCAAAUACACAAAUAUAACUUGUAAAAAUUGUAAAACAAAAUAAAAACAAAGUCACAUGUACUAGCAAAAGUAAAGUAACAUAACGCCAAGUCACCAACAAUUUGCAAAGUCACCCAAAAACAAAAUAAUAUGACGCCAAGUCACUAACAAUUUGCAAAGUCACCCAAAAAUAAAGUAACAUGACGCCAAGUCAUCAACAAUUUGCAAACAAAAAACCCUAAGCUUCCAUGCCGUCACACACACUAGCAACACUCAAUACUGGUUGGAUAUACUCUCGACACAGAUUUGAAGGACAUCGGCCGCGCGAUUCCGGCAAGAGCAAGCCAUCUUCUUUCCCAAGUCCAUCGAGCCACUUCACAUUCACUGGUUCCAGCUGAACAAUUGCACUAUCACAACCUUCAAGAUCGCCACCCGUACAGCUUCUCCUGGUUCCCAUCAUGGACGGCUCCGUAAUCACCACUUUUCGACAAGCGCAUCAGCCCUGGUAAAGGAUCAGAUUGUGUUUGGUUUCUAAAACUUCGCCAUUUCAAUUAAUUGUGGCUUUAUUUGAAUAAUUAAUUUCGGUGUUAUAUUAACAUAUUAUUGUAACUUUAUUUGAACAAUUAAGCUUGGUGUGUUAUAUUUUGAAACUUUGAACGUGUUGUUGUAGCUUUAUUUGAAUAAUUAGUCUCGAUAUGUUAUAUUUUAAAAUUUUAAAUGUAUUAUUUUAGGUUUAUUUAAACAAUUAAUUUAUUUAAAUUUUAUUCAAUUUUAAAUUUAAUUGGUAGCAAAAUUAUUUUUAUAUUAGUUUUUUUUAUUUCAUUAGUUGGAGAGAACUAAAAAUUUUUAAUUCGAAAACUAAUGCACAAAAUGAUGGAUUGAAUAUGGAUUGAGUCAAAUCUGUAUUCAAUCCGUAGACGUGUGGAUUGGAUAUGAAUUGAGUCAAAUCCGCAUCUGAUCUGCAGAUAUAUGGAUUAGAUUUGGAUUGAAUUUUAUCAAUCCAUGGAUUGGAUUGGAUUGAAAAAUUAUAAUUCACAAAAUGAUGGAUCGGAUAUGGAUCAAUGUCCAAUCUGUAAAAUCCGAUCCGCGAACAGCCCUAAGAGAUUAUGUGAAAAAAAAUCUCAAAUAUUGUGAUUUUGACCCAAUUAUCAAAAUUGUUGGUCCUAUUGAAAAACCUCUAUUAACCGUAGAUGAUUUCAGCGGACUGUGGAUGCAUGAGUAGUUACAAGAAAUGGGGUAGACAAAUUGUUAGGAGGCAAUUCCCUCAGGAGCCUGGAAGCUGCAUUAGAUUGUGGGAGGAAGCAGAUGUUUGCCAUGUAUUAUUACAAAACACAAGUAAAUGUUCAGUUAGGUUGAAAACUUGCAAUUUUGGGAUCAUGAUCACUUAUUUAACUAGUUAACUCUUUGCAUAGUUUUAUCAAUAUUUUCUUUCUUUAAUUUUUUUCCCCACUUAUUUUUGGUUAUAAUGUUUAGGAAACUGAUGUAGUUGAAGCAUCAUAUUUGAUUGCUUUAGCAACAAUGUCAGUGAUAAAGCCUUUCUAAUGUGACCAGUCAAACUUCACAAGAGUAGCAAAUUUAGAGGAGCUGAUUUCUGAAGGAUUUACAAGUUUGCAUGAGAUUCACUCAUUUUUUCUGCUUCAAAGAAGCUGCUUUAAAAUUCUACAAUUUAAAUAAAAAAAUUCUUAAAAGAUUAUAAUGGAAUUUUUCCAAAAGAGUAAAUUCUUAGAAGAUUUUAAUGGAAUUAUUCCCCGAGAAUAAAUUCUUAAAAGAUUAAAGUGGAAUUUUUCUAAAAGAAUAUGUUAUUCACUUUGCCCUAUAAAAUGCAAUUACAUUGAAGACUCCCUAAAUAAAAUGCUUAAAGAAACCUUUGCUUUUGGCAAAAUCAUGCCGACCAUAUCUUUGAUUCCAUGCGCCACUAAAGACCGGAAUCAUCUUCAUAAUUGCUUUCGGCAUACACUUUUGAUUAAACUUUUUCUCUUUGAGAAAUCAAUUAGAACACAUAAAAAUCCUCUCACUAAUUAAUUUCUUUGAAACAAACUUAAUGAGAAAUUUAAGUAAAAAUUUAUCAUCUUUGACUGCUUCCAAUAAGCUCAGACAUGUAAGUUAAUUUUCUUACAUUUUCAAUUUUACUUGUAUCUCGGGGUUUGCUUUACAUGAAUUUAUUUGAACUGCACUAGCGCCUUCUGAUGUAAUGGCUGCUGUUUGUUCACCACCAGUUAACAUUACAAAUUAAAUCAAUUUUAGGUGUGACAAAAAAGCUGCAAAUCGAAGAAAGGCUGAAAGGGCACAUACUAUGUUAGAGGCUAGAUUUAGAUCUAAUUAUAAGGGAAGCCUUUCUAACACUCAGGUUUUAGAUUCAAGCUCUACUUUAUGUGCAUGCCACAAAUUUGAAAAAAAAUGUGCAUACUAAUUUUUUUUGGGAGAACAAUGGAAUUGAAUAAUAAAUGCACUAUAAAAAAUUUACUUGGUUGUGAUUUUCAUAGAUGGAUUAAAAAAAUAAAUUUUAUUCAAAACUAUGUCCAAUUUAAUUAUUUACAUUUUUGUCAUUUACAACCAAACAUAUAAAUUGUUUUUAAAACUCACAGAACUUUUGAAGAUUGUAUCAAACGUUUAAUUAGUUAUUUUUAUAGUUGACUAUUUUUACAAUACAAUUAGCAGUAAUUAUUUUAAAAACUAUAAUAUUAACAAAAUAAUCCAACAUCUUUUAAGGACCCAGCUGAAAUUUAACUAAUAAAGGUUUACCAUUAGUAUAGAUUGCCGGUAGUUUUAACUAUUUUUAAUUAAUUAUUCCAUUCCAUUUUAAUGGAAUCCAAUGGCUUCAACAUGGGUGAUGGGCAGAGUGGCAUGGACGCGUAAUCAAUUGAAAAGCCAGAUAUUCUUUGCUUAGAUUCCUUGAAGCUUCCGGCAAGCUCGAUGCUAACUCCAUCGUGUGAGUAAUCGAUUGAAAAGCCAGAUAAUUUUCAUUUAGAUUCCUUGAAGCUUCCAGGAAGGUUGAUGGUAACUUCAUCAUUAGAGUAAACAGAGACAAUUUUUUUGAAUUGUUAAGAAAGUCGCUGUUUGACCAAGACUUGCUUUUGGAAAUACACACAUUGCAACGCAACUGAGGCGCUGGAAACCGUGUAAUCGCUUUAAUUUUCCAAAUUAAACAAAAAAACCUCUGCCUUCCCUUGAAAGAUAGGUGCGCACGUAAAAUUCUAUCAUGUCGUAAUUAAUUGCGACAUUAAUAAGUAAUGAAUAUAAUUUUUUAUAAUUUAUACAUACAACCAGUACAUAAAAAGUAAAAUAAAUAAAUUAAUAUAAGUGUGGUUAAUUGAUAUUUUAAAAUUAAAAAUAAAAAAUACUUGUAAAAAUAAUAUAAAAUUUAUAAAUCAACGUUAAACUUUAACUAGACUAGAAAAUAGUUUAUUUCUUUAAUUUAAUUAAGAAAAAAAUCGCUAAUUAAGAAAAAAAUCGCUCAUUAAUUGAAAAAAAAUUGUAUUAAAACGACUAGAAUAAAUUUUAUUGAAUUGGUUUAACCAUGAAUUCUAUAUUUAUCCUAGGACAUUUAUAAUUUUUUUUUCAUUUUCUAUCAUAAUAUUUGUUUACUACACAAGUUACUUAAGCAAAAUUAUUAUUAUUUUUUUUAAUGUGGAUCAAGCCAAAACAAAAUAAAAGUUAUUUUUAUAUUACUACAAAUAUAUGAUAUAUCAAUAAAAUUAUAUCUAAUUUGCAGUUUUAUAAAUAAUUUAUAUAGUUUCAAACUUUACUUCUUUUACUUAAAGAUCAUUUGGGAUUACUGUCUAAGAGGUUUAUAGAGGGAUGCAAAAUUACCUUAUCUUACAAAUAACUUUAAAAAACAUAAAAAGAGUUUUAUUCUUAAUAAAAUUUUACAUAUAUCGUAUUACAUAAGCCCAAAACUAUCAUGAUUCAAUUUAGAAACAAAAUCAGUUAAAUACAUAAGGUAGUCAUUAUUAUCAUUAUAUGAAUUUAUUUAUUUUACUUUCUAUUGAGAAGCUUUAUAUUCUUAUUACAUAAUUUAUGUUUUAUUUUAUAUUUAAUGUUGAUUUAUAAGUUUUAUAUUACAUUUAUAUGUUUUAUCUAAAUAAUUAAUAUUAAUUAUAAUAUGCACAAAUAUGUUUCACUGAUUAACUUAGCUUCUUUGAAGCAACACUUCAAUGAAAUUCAACAGGUAGCUGCCUGUGCAAUUAAUACACUCAAAGCUUUAAGAUUUAUUUUAAUUUUUAUCUUAUACAUGUUUCUCUCAAAUACAAGCUUUUAGCGCGGCAUGCAAAAUACACCCCGUUUAAAUCUAAUCACACCUCUCUAAUUUGCACAUUCUGGAUGUUUAGAACAGGAAAUAUAUAAAAUUGAAAGAAAGCUUUGAAUGUUUAAAUUAAUUUGUAUCGUAUCAACUCUUUAAUUUGCUUCUCUUUGAGGCUCUAAUUAAGAUUUGCUUGAGUAAAGGUCGGCAAACACACUCUCCAAUCAGAAUCUGAAAAACUUUUUAAUUAUAUUUUGGAAGUAAAUGAGAGGCUGUUAAUUAGUUUGUUUAGUUAAGAAGAAGAUCAUUAAUUUGUUGUUCAAUAAUUUUAUGCUAAAAGAAAUGAUCAUAGUAAUUAUAUUAUAUUAUAUUAUUUUCAUUUUUGUGCUGCCCAUAAUCUUGAAUGAAUCUUAUUGUUUGCAUGGUAUUUUACGCUCACUGGAUUUCACUUGAUUUAUUCUAAAUUUUUAGGAACAAAUUAAUAUGAUGGCUUCCACGAGCUUCCAAAAUGUCUCUCAUGGGGAAUAAGAUGCCUUCUUAAGCUUUAGAGGAGAAGACACCCGUAAAAGGUUCAUAGGUCAUCUCUAUACUGCUUUGAACAAUAAAAGAAUUUAGGUAUUCAGGGAUGACAAACAACUUGAGAAAGGAGGAUCCAUUUCACCAAUCUCCUUAAACCAAUUGAAGAAUCGAGAAUUUCAAUUAUUGUUCUCUCAAAAAAUUACGCUUCUUCCACUUGGUGCUUGGAUGAACUUCCUAAGAUUGUUGAAUGCAAAAAUAGAGAGGAUCAAAAUUUUCCAAUUUUUUAUGAAGUGGAACCAACUGUUGUAAGAAAACAAACAGCAAGUUUCGGAGAAGCUUUUGCUAAACAUGAAGAAUUUUUCAGGGAUAAUAUAGAAAAAGUGCAAAAGUGGAGACACGCUUUAAAGGAGGUGGCCAAUAUAUCAGGCUGGGAAUUGAAGGAUAGGUAAUCAUUCUUUUUUUCAACUAUUAAUUUUGUUUGUUUUGCAAGAUUAGUAACUACAAAACAGAUUUUAAUAAUCAUUCAACACUAUUUUUAAUUUAACAACUUCUAUUUAAUAUAUAUGUAUAUCGUAUGAUGUGUAGUAAAAGGGUUCCUCCUGUGAAUUGAAUAUCUUUAAAUUAUACUUUUACUUUUGAAAACCUUAAUUUACCUCCCAUUUUUGUUAAUAAUACAAAAACAUUUCAUCAACUCACCCCAUUUUUCCUUCUCUUUUGAACAAAAAUAGGGUAAUUGAGGUGUUCAGAAGGGAGUGAUUUGAAGAUAUUCAAAUCUAAAUGGAGAAUAAUCUAAAUUUUAUGAAUGAAUUAAUAUUUGCAAUCAAAGAGAUAUGGACAUUGAUAUGUUGAAUUAUUGGAUUUUGAACUUUUCAUGACUAAAAGCUUUUAUGUUGUGAUGCUUUGUGCUAUCAGUUUUGCAAAAAAAAAAAAAAAGUAAAAUAAAACUUUAUUCUUAGAUUAUUGCCCAAGCUUAGGCAUAUCAAUAUAAUGAUUUAAGCUUGUGAUUAUAAUUUUAGUCCAAAUUUAUUUACUAGAUUAAUCUAUCCCCGUCCUUGCUUGCAAACUGCUCUGUUUUGUGUCAUUUUCUAUUUAUUUUAAUAUAAUUUUCUUCUAUGAAUUGACUCUUGACCUAGAUUGCCAAAUACUAAUAAUAACAAUGGCAAUAAUCGCAAUACGAAUGAUAUCAAUAUCAUUACAUAUUUAGCUAAUCUAAUUGAAUUAAAUUGUCUUUUAAACUAACUCAUCCUGUUGUAGAAAGAAAUAAUAUAUAAAUUUUGAAAUUACCAAUCACAAUGCAACCCAGUCCAAUCCAAUUCUUAUUGGGUUGGGUUUGAAUUUCUCAUUCCAAUUGUUGUUGACUGAUGUAAUAAUAUCAUAUUAUUUAAUUAUAUGACUUCAAUUUGAUGAAAUGAAUAUUGCAUAGUUGGGAUUUUUUAUUCAUAAUAUGGAAUUGCUUUGUUACUACGUUCAUACUUACUUCAAUUUAACAACACCAAUCUUUUCUUGUUGUUUUCAAUCUGCAUCAAUGAGUCAGAAUUUAUUGAGGAAAUUGUCAAUGUCAUAUCUAGUAAAAUUCGUUCAGAACCGGAGAUUCUUAAGGAGCUAGUAGGAAUCGAAUCACGCUUGGAGCAACUGAGGUUUCUUAUGGGUAUGGGGUCUAAUGAUGUUCGUAUGAUCGGGAUAUGGGGCAUGGGAGGUCUAGGAAAGACAACUCUUGCAAGGGUUUUUUAUGACUUGAUGUCUCAUGAGUUUGAUGGGAGUAGUUUUCUUGCCGAUGUUAGAGAAAAAUCUGAAAAAGAAGGCAGUGAAAUCUCUUUACAAAAGCAGCUCCUUUCUGAUUUACUGAAGCUUUCAGAUUAUAGCAUACAGAAUGUCUACGAUGGUAUUAGCAUAAUUGGAAGUAGGCUGCAACGAAAAAAAGUUCUUCUCAUAAUUGAUGAUGUGGCUGAUGUUGAACAAUUACAAAGGUUAGUUGGAAGGCGUGAUUGGUUCGGUCCAGGCAGCAAGAUUCUAAUAACAACGAGAGAUAGACAAUUGUUGGUGGCGCAUGAAGUGGAUCAAGAGCAUAUUCUUGACCUUGAUGUACUAAAUAAGGAUGAAGCUCUUCAACUCUUUAGUAUGAAAGCUUUUAAAAGCCAUUAGCCUAUGGGAGAAUAUGUGGAGCUAUCUGAACGUGUUCUGGAGUAUGCUGGUGGUCUUCCAUUAGCUCUAAAAGUUUUGGGAUCCUUUCUAAUUGGUAGAUCUGCGGAUCUAUGGAGAAGUGCCCUAGAAAGACUGAAAAAAGAUCCUUCAAAUAAGAUUAUGAGUAUACUUCAAAUAAGUUUUGAAGGACUACAAGAUUCAGAGAAGAAAAUAUUUCUGGAUGUUGCAUGUUUCUUUAAAUGGUGGGAUAGAGAUUACGUGGCAGAAAUUCUAGAGGGAUGUGGUUUUUCCCCAGUCAUUGGGAUAGAAGUUCUUAUUGAAAAGUCUCUAUUAACUGUUGAUGGUUGCAACAUACUGCAUAUGCAUGAUUUGUUACAGGAAUUGGGACAACUGAUUGUUACGAGACAAUCCCCCGAAGAACCUGGGAAAUGUAGCGGAAUAUGGAGGGAAGAAGAAGUGCGCCAGGUGUUGACAAACAAUACGGUAAGUGAAUUAUUAAAUGGAAAACUUGUUGAUGCUUGCUACUUUAUUUUUCCCAAUUAUAUCUCUGACGAAUUUUCAACAUCUUUACAUUAUUGUUUUAGGGAGGUGAAGUAGUGGAAGGAAUAAUAGAUUAUUACUCUUCCUACUUUCCUGAAGAUAAGGUUUACUUAAGUGCAAGUGCUGAAGCAUUUUCGCUGAUGACCAACCUAAGACUGCUCAAAAUCAGUAAUGUGCAACUUUCUAGAGGACUAGAAUACCUCUCUAACAGGUUGCGAUUACUUGAUUGGCGUCGGUAUCCUUUGAAAUCUUUGCCAUCAAAUUUGCAAUUGGAUGAUAUUGUUGAAUUUAAAAUGCAUUACAGCUGCAUUGAAGAAUUAUGGAAAGGAAUCAAAGUAAGAUCAAUUUUUUUUGUCACUAAUUUAUAUUUUUCAGUGAAUAAUUGUUGAUAACAAUUUUAUUAUUAUAGUAGUAUAUGAAUUAAGAAAUAUCAUUUUAUCUCCUUUUUUGUUUUCAACAGCCUUUAAACAUGUUGAGAGUCUUGGAACUCAGCCAUUCGGAGAAUCUGAUUAAGACACUAGACUUCACAAAGGUCCCAAACUUAGAGGUGUUGGAUCUUGAAGGAUGUACAAGGUUGCGUGAAAUUCACCAGUCUUUGCUACGUCACAAUAAGCUGAUCUUGUUGAAUUUGAAAGGUUGUACAAGUCUUACAACUCUUCCGGGUGAGAUUUUUAUGGAAUCUCUUAAAACGCUUGUUCUAUCUGGUUGCUCAAAAUUGAAGAAAUUUCCGGACAUUGUAGGAGGUAUGGAGUGUCUGCAGGAACUUCGUUUAGAUGGAACUGAUAUCAAAGAACUGCCAGUAUCAAUUGAACUUAUGUCUGGCCUUGUUUCGUUGAAUUUGAAAGAUUGCAGAAAUCUCGCGAGUCUUCCAAUUACAAUAGGCAGUUUAGAAUGUCUACAAACGCUCGUGCUAUCUGGUUGCUCGAAAAUAGUGAAAUUUCCAGAGACUGUGAUAAGUGUGGUAGAUCUGUCAGAGCUCUUUUUAGAUGGAACUUCUAUCACAGAAGUGCCAUCAUCUAUAGAGCUUUUGACCAAACUUCAAUGGUUGAAUUUGAAUGACUGCAGAAGUCUCGUGAGACUUCCUAGCAGUAUAAAUGGUUUGAAAUCCCUCAAAACUUUGAAUCUCUCAGGCUGCUUCAAACUUGAAAAUGUGCCUGAGACGUUUGGGCAAGUAGAAAGUCUGGAAGAACUUGAUAUAAGUGGUACAGCUAUAAGGCAACCUCCAUCGUCGAUUUUUCUUAUGAAGAAUCUUAAAGAACUAUCUUGUCGUGGGUGCAAAGGAUCACCAUCAUCUGCAUCAUGGUUUCUGCGCUCUCCUAUCAAUUUGAUGCGAUGGAGUUCAGAUCCGGUGGCUUUGAGUUUGCCGUCUUCUCUGCCAGGUUUGUGUAGUUUAACGAAAUUGGAUAUCAGUGACUAUGACCUAGGGGAAGGAGCAAUCCCAAGUAGUAUUGGCGACUUAUGCUCAUUAGAAAAGUUAUGUUUGAGUAGAAACAGUUUUGUUUCGCUACCGGCAAGCAUCUACCGUCUUUCUAAUCUUCAGGAGAUUGAAUUAGAGGAAUGCAAAAUGCUUCAAACUCUUCCUCGACUUCCAGCCAGUAUACAAUGGAUUUUGUUAGAUGGUUGUGUGUCGUUGGAGACAUUAUCAGAUGUAUUAAAAUUAAACGAGCAUCGACUCCCGUUGUUAAGCCUUGAGUGUGUGGAUUGCUUGAAAUUGACUGGCAACUAUGAUUUGGCAACAUUAAAAAUUCUGAGGUCAGUCUCUCACUCUCACCUGUUCUAACAUUAUGCCUAAAACUUAUGCAAUAGAUGUUAUGUCUUUUUAUUUUGUUUAUUUACUCACUUUUUUUUUCCGUGGGGUUGCAGAAUAUGUCACUGUCAGACAAGUACUGUAGUAGAUGGCCUCAUGUUAGUUUCUUACACUGUCUCUCACCUGUUGCUAAAAUUAUGCCUAAAAAUUAUGCAUUGGUAUGGCUUAUAAAAUACAAUUACAUUGAAGCCGCCCUUGAUAAAAUACUAAACGAAAUCAUUGCUUUCCUCAACAUCAUGUCUACCAUAUCGUUGAUUUCAUGCACCACUAAAGAAGAUCAUGAUCGUUCUUCGUAAUUGCUUUCGGCAUACACUUUUGAUUACACUUUUUGUUUUUUAGAAAUUAAUUAGAACACAAAACAUUCCUUUCAUUGAUUUCUUUGAAAGAAAGUUAGGUCUUCUUUCAUAUCGAGAUACUGUAAUUUUUUAGUUUUAAAUUAUUAAAAAAAUUUAUAAUUAUAAGAUAAAAAUUAAUAAUAUAUAAUGAAUAUAAUUUUUAAAUAAUAAUUUUUACAAAAUUAAUAAAAAUAUAAUAAAUUUUUCAUUAUACAACUUAAUUUUCAGGAUAUAAUAGUUAAUAUUUAUUAAACACUUUAGUAUUGUAGUUUAAAAAUUAUAGCUUCCCAACCUCAAUUUCAAAUAAAACCUUAAUUAGAAGUUCAAGUAAAAAUUUAUGAUCUUUAUUGCUUCCAAUAAGCUCAAAAAUGCCAGUUAAUUUUCUUACAUUUUUAAUUUUACUCAUAUCUCAGCGUUUGCUUUGCAAGAAUAUUUGUCUUACAUAUUUAUGUAUUAUUUUUUUUCACAUAUAAAAUUCAAUUGAAUGAAUUUUAAGAGGAAAGUUUGUUCUCUUGGUUUUCUGCUCCUUCAAUUUGCUGGUUGUGUGCUGAUUAUGAUUAUUUAAGAACCAUUUACUGAUAGCACUUCAUUUCAAAUAAAAUUAAAAUGUCCAAUGUAUUAAAAUUUGUGAAAACUUUAUGCUCAAAAUCAUUAGGAGAAAAAUUAUUAUUUUAUCCAUUUUGAGUCCCCCGACAGAUUUUGAGGGAGAUUGGAAUCUUGUGUAAUUUGCUGUACGGAGUUAUGAUGCAUCUUUAUCGACUUUUCUGUUGACUCAACUUGAUUGACCUCUGAUUCUGAAUGCGACCUCACGUAGGUCCGUCCGCUGAAUACGGGUUUGACCCGAUAUCAACCCGCGUUUGGUUGGACCGCAGGAUGUGUGUGACGUGUCCUGUUGGCCGUUGAUCCGCGUGUGUUAGGUUACUGGGUGGCUGACUUUGUAUCCGGACCAUCAUUUUGAUCAUGGAACGCCGUCCAAGGGUUCUGAAGCUGCCACGUACUCCACUACUUCAACCCAUUGAUUUAAUCCAAUUUGGUGGAUCCAAUAGCAAUUCCCCCAUCUCUUUGAAAUGUAAAAGCAUCAUUUUAAGCUCCACCGGCCGUCGAUUUCGAGCGAGCGUACAAGUGCUAAGGCCAAAAAAUUUUAUCUUGGAGAAGAAUUGAGUGAGUGACUUCUUAUUUUUAUGUCCUUAAAAUUUAUUUUUUAAAAUUUAUUUUUAAACCCUAGAUUUUGGAGAAAUACUUUUCUUAAGGGUUAGAAGCAAAUGUUUUAAAUUGGAAUUUUAAUGAGUGCAAACUAUGUUAUUGUCAGACAUCAAGAAUCAAAUUAGCAUUUAUUUUAUUCUCUUGUCUUUAGCUCCAUCAAGUUCGUUGAUGCAAGGUCUUUGAGAUUGAAGGUGUUAAAUUCAAGACGGAUUCUCUCACAUCCAAUAUCAAUUUACUCUUAGAUUUUUCUUGUGAGCAGAUUUUGAUGCUUGAUUCACAUAGAAAAAAAAUUGUGAGGACUAUAAGGAUUUUUUUUUAAAUUAAAAACCACCUUAAGGUGGAGUGUGGGUUUAGGCGGGAACCUUCACUAGUAAAUUAAUAAAAUAAAAUAAAAUUCAUAUGGAGAGAGACAUAUGCCAAAACCUCGAAGUAUGGGAACAAAUACAUCCAAUAACAGGAAAAAUAACAAAAGCAAUGGAAGAUAGGACUAAUUAAUGCAACCGCCUAGAGAAUCGCUUCCAAUUCUUGCGGCUAGUAACUAAUGUGAAACCUUUCUUAGAACAGAGGCAUGCGGCCCGGCAACACGAAAGUCAUCAAGAUCAUGCCCUCUAGUACCCUUAGGCUCAUAUGCAAAAUAUUCAAUAGUCACAGGAUUCCCAUCAAAGCUAAAAUUCUCAUCAAACUGAAAAAGGAUGUCUGUAGAAUGGGGUUUGAAGCCCACGAUCAUGGAGCGAAUAUCCUCUUCAGCAACUAAAAAAAAAGUAGCGUCAGUGGAAGCCCUCUGAACACUCGGAUCAUCUAAAAAAGGAGGGUUAGAGACCUCAGUGCAUCCAGCAGCAUCUCCUAAAGUAGUAGGAUCCUUCAAACCAUCAUCAGUUUGAAUUCUUUUCAUAGAAACCAGAUCAAACCCAUCUUCUGCAGUAUCCUAAUAAAUAAGUGAUUGAGCAUCUAGAGGAGCACCCUCACUACCAUUAGGCCUCAAUGGCUGAACCUCUUCGCCAUCCCCUUUGGAUGCACAGCAGCAUCAGACAUCAACAUCUUGCUUUUAUCAUGAACAACAGUAUCCUGCACCUGACUAAUAGGCUGCCAAGGUUCCCAGAGCCCAGGAUUGGCAACAAAACAAGUAUCAGCAGAGUGCCCAAGAUGUUUACACGAGGCACAAUAUAAAGGAACAUGCUUAAAAAUGACAUUCUACUAGAAACCGCCACCACCUUCAAUCCAAAGCUUGGGCAACAACGGCCACGAAACAUCCAACUCAAUUAGAACUCCAGCGACUGAGGGUCGAUUAACAGCAAUAGUAGCAUGGUCUACUCACAGAGGCUUACCAAUAGCAUUAGCAAUAAAAAAUAAGGCAUCUUUGCAAUGAAUAAAAUGCACUGGUGAAUACGGCAAAGAAACUUAGAUAGGAACAAUAGGAGAUUCCUUAGAGCACCGAAUUAAAGUCUAUAAGACUAUACUACAUGAGACUCAAACCCAAGACCUAAGUCUUGGUAAGGCUAUCCACCUAAAUCCACUUGGAAAAUGUUCAAACGUAUUUUAGAUAAUGUGUUUUAGUCUGUGAGGGUUGGCACAAUAGGAUUUAGACUUGAGAUGUUUAGGAUUGCGAAGCUUUGUAUGUGUUCUUGAUCCAUUGUAAACUCACAUUAUUUUCAUAGUAAAUUGUUUUGUCUACAAGUGGACAUAAUAAUAUAUCAAGAUUUUUGUCUUAAAUCGUGAGGAUCAAAGGUUCCCUCGUAAAAAGAUCUUCGUGUUGUGGAUGUUCAUUAUUUUGCAUAUUUAUUUUCAUUACCAUAAAUUGACUUUUUAAAUUUAUUGAUAGUGUUUAUAUUGAAUUAUCUUUAUUAACUAGGAAAUAAAAUCAUUAAUUUUAAAGAGAUUACUAUUAUUAUCAUCAAUUAUAUUGAGAUAACAAAAUAAAAAAUAAAAUUGAUAAUAUAAAAUAUUUACUUUAGUUAUCAAAUAUUAUAUAUACACACGAAAAAAUAUUUUAUAUACAUAUUUAUAAAUAUGUAAAUAAAUUUUAUUCAAAAUUAUGUCUAGCUUAAUCAUUUACAUUCUUGUCAUUUACAAUCUUAUGAUAGUUUAAUAAUAAGAUUUAUCAAGUACAUACGACUGUUUUUAAAACUUACAAAAUUUUUGAAAUUCGUAUCGAAUGUUUGAUUGAUUAUCUUUAUAGUUGAUUAUUUCUAUAAUUCAAUUAACAAUAAUUAGUUUUAAAAAACUACAAUGUUACCAAAAGAAUCCAACAUCUUUUAGGGAUCCAACUGAAAUUUAACUAAUAAAGAUUUACCAUUCUUAUAGGUUGCUAGUAGUUUUAACUAUUUUUAAUUAAUUAUUAAUAUCAACCGUUGGAUGCCAUUCCAUUUUAAUGGAAUCCAAUGGUUUCAACGUGGCUAAUGGGCAGAGUGGCUUGGACGCGUCAUCAAUUGAAAAGCCAGAUAAUCUUCGCUUAGAUUCCUUGAAGCUUCCAGCAAGUUUGAUGGUAACUCCAUCAUGUGAGUAAACAGUGACAAAUGUCUAUUAAUUAUUAAGAAAGUCACUUUUUGACCAAGACUUGCUUUUGGAAAUACAUACAUAUUUGCUGAUUGCUUUAUUUUUCGCCAAAAGAAUAUAUUUGCAUGAUUAAAUUCUUUGAAUCAAAUACUGCAUCGGAGUUCAUUUAACUAGCGUCCUACAAUACACUCAAAAGCCGUAAGUUCGAUCUUAUACAUCUCUCUCUCUUUUAUUUUCAGAAUUAAUUUGUAUAUCUUAAUGUUUAAAAACAAAUAAAUAAUGAUAAAAUUGAAAGAAAUUCUUUAAUGUUAAUUUUGUACAAACUCCUCUAAGAGGCUUUAAUCAAGAUUUGCUCAAGUAGAGAUCGGUGUACACACUCUCAAAUCGGCACUUGAAAAACAAAUACUUUACAUUUUGGGAUUUAUUAUGUAUAAUUUUAAUUUUCUUUUUGGUAAAGAGAGUAAUUGAGAAGCUGAUGGAUUAUCUGUUUAGUUUGUUUGAGAAUAAGAUCAUUAAUUUGAAUUCAGAACCAUUGUCAAGUUUAAUAACUUUUUAUUUCAAUAAAUUUUUACUUUAAAAAUAUUUGGGCCAAUUUAUUGUCAAUUAUUUUUAAUCAAAUUCACCCUCCCCGUCGAGGUCUGAAAAAAAGAAUACAAUUAUUAUAUAUUUGUCCAUUUUUAUCGGGUUGUUGAAAGGAAAUGAAAAAGUUUCAGUUUCUCUCUCAAAAUCUCUUUGCUUAUAUAUAGUUUCGAUGAUUAGUUAUUGCCUUAAUAUUUUUGUUUUUAUUUUUUUGGUGAUAAAUAUGUAACUCUGAUUUCUUUUAAGUUAUUGUAGAUAAAUCUUUUAUAAAACAACAUACAAAGAGGUACCUAUUGAACUUCUUUAUUUUCAUUAUAUAUUAACCACCAAUCACAUAUUAAAUCAUAAGAGAAUUCUAAUUCAAUCUGAUAUUGAAUAUUAUUAUUUAAAAAUUACUUCAAAAACUGUAUUUUAGCAUUUAACUGUUUAUUAAAAUAAUAAGUUAUAAUCUAGUUAGAAAUUUAAGGAAAUAGUUAUGUAAAGUCCCAAUUUUUUAAUAAAGGACGCCAAAAUCUUUUUUCAGCUAUACUGCUUUUGUAGAGAGUAACUAAAAUACAUAUAUAAUUUAAUAUUUUAAUUUUUCUAAUAGACCAAUAAUAUUAGAAUAUUUUAAAAAUAAAAUAAUUUUAAAAAAUGUAAAUUAUUAUAUUUUACUAAUAUAUUUGUAUUUAUUAUAACAAAUUUAAAUAAAUCAUUAGGUUAAAUAGAUUUUACAAUUAAAAAAAUGAUUUCAUGUAUUAAUAAUAUUAAAAUUAUUUUUAUAUAUUUAUCUUAAUAUUAUAAUUCUAUUUAUUACAAAUAUUUUUUAAUAGAUAUUGUUACAUUUAUUUAAUAUCGUAUUUAUAUUAAUUAUAAAACAUUGAAAUUAAUUUUUUUGAGUUAUUAGAGCUAAAUGGUAUCAUAGUUAAAAGAGGAUUUUAGUGUUUCUUAUUGAAAAUAUGGUGUCUACACAACCAUUUUUUUCCCAAAUCUUGGGGUGUAAGUGUCAUUUUACCUAAAUUUAAAUAAGAUAUUUAAAUCAAAUAAUAUGAAUUAAAUAUAAAUAAAUCCAAAUAAUAUGAAUUUAAUAUAAAUAAUUACACACUUUUUUUUACUUUUAUUAUAUAAAAUCAUUUUUAUUAUUUUACUUUUAUUAUGUAAAAAUAAUUUUAAUCAAUUAUUUUAUUAAUUAACACAUUUAUAAUUUACUUUUUUUAGAGAGAUUUAUAAUUUAAUUAAAUAGAAAUAGAACUACCUCAUUAAUGAAGUUUUUAUUUUAAUAAUGAAUUUAACCAAUAAAUUUAAUAAAAUAAUAUUAUAAAAAAAUUAGAUAAACAAGAUCAUGCAUAUACCGCAAUAAAUAUGGCACUGUUUUAAAGGUUAAUGUAAUAUUGCUACGCAAUAAAGCUCAAGCAAUAUAAUUAAGUAUUAUUUAUUAAUAAAUUUUUAAAUUUUAUUAGUCAAAUAAUAAAAUUGAUAAUAAUAUUAGUAUAAAAUAUUUAAAUAAACACUAUUGUACAUACUACACUAAAACAUAGUACUGCGACAUAAUGUAGUGCACCAAACACUCCCUAAGCUAGUGUAUACGACUUUGACACUUUGAGAUAAUCCAUAACUCUAGAUAAAUGUUGUUGUUUACAUAGUAUUGUUCCUAGGCAAUCAUUUCUUUUUUUUAAAAAAAAUUUCAGAACAAAUUAAUAUUGUAAUGGCUUCCUCGAGCAUACAAAAUAUGCCUCAUUGGCCAUAUGAUGCCUUUUUAAGCUUUAGAGGAGCAGACACCCGUAAAAGCUUCAUAAGUCAUCUCUAUGCAGCUUUGAAUGGAAAAGGAAUUUAUGUAUUCAAGGAUGACAAAGAACUCGAGAGAGGAACAUCCAUUUCACCUGGACUUCUUAAUGCAAUUGAAGAUUCUAGAAUUUCAAUUAUUGUUUUCUCUCAAAACUAUGCUUCCUCCACUUGGUGCUUGGAUGAACUUGUUAAGAUUGUUCAAUGCAAGAACAAAAACGAUCAUCAACAAAUGGUUUUUCCAAUUUUCUAUGAUGUUGAACCCACUGUGGUAAGGAAACAAACCGGAAGUUUUCGAGAAGCUUUUUCUAAACAUGAAGAAGCUUUUAGGGAGAAUCUAGAAAAGGUGAAAAAUUGGAGAGACGCUUUGAAAGAGGUGGCUAAUAUUUCUGGCUGGGAAUUGAAAGAGUACAGGUAGCCAUUCUUAUUAUUUUGUAUAUCAUUUUAAAUAGCUUUAAUUAGCAUACUGUUGUCAAUUAAACAACUUUUAUUCAAUAUGUGCAUGAUAUGAUGUGUACUAAUUGAAUAAUAGCUCCAUAUAAGAAUAUUUACGAACAAAAGUGGUACCAAUGGAUGCAGAUAUUUACACGAACGCACCUAAAGAUUAGCCAUAUGUAACAACAUCUUACAUUACUUCAAUUUUGUCCAACGAAUAUUGCAUAUUUUGGGCUUUUUCUAUUACUAAAUUUAUUUAAUACCGCAUUCAGACUCACUGUAAUUUAACCAUACUGAUCUUUCUUUGUUCUUUAACUGUAGGAAUGAGUCAGAAUUUAUUUGGGAUAUUGUCAAGGCGAUAUCAAGUAAAAUUCCUGUAAAAUCAGAGACUCUUAAGAAGCUGGUGGGAAUAGAUUCACGCUUGGAAGAAUUGAGGUCUCUUAUGGAUGAAGGGCCUAAUGAUGAUGUUCGUAUGAUAGGCAUUUGUGGUAUGGGAGGUUUAGGUAAGACGACUCUUGCAAGAGUUGUUUAUGACUUGAUCUCUCAUGAAUUUGAAGGGAGUAGUUUUCUUGCCGAUGUUAGAGAAAAAUUUGAAAACGAAGGCAGUGUAAUCUCUUUUCAAAGGCAACUCCUUUACGAAAUAUUGAAGCUUGAAAAAGAUAGCAUAUGGAAUGUCGGUGAUGGCAUCAACAUUUUAGGAAGCAGGCUGCAAAACAAAAAGGUUCUUCUUGUUAUCGAUGAUGUGGUUGACAUAAAGCAAUUAGAGUAUUUAGCUGGAAAGCGUGAGUGGUUUGGUUCAGGCAGUAGGAUCAUCGUAACAUCGCGAGAUGAACAUCUAUUAAGGACACAUGGAAUGGAUGAAGUAUAUAAGCCUAAUGAACUAAAUUACCAUGAUGCUCUUCAACUUUUCAACAUGAAAGCUUUUAAAAUCCAAAAGCCUCUUGAAGAAUGUGUGCAGCUGUCUGAACGUGUUCUACGGUAUGCCGGUGGUCUUCCGUUAGCUCUCGAAGUUUUGGGUUCCUUUUUGAAUGGUAGAUCCGUGGAUCAAUGGAAAAGCACCUUGGAAAGGCUACAAAUAGAGCCUCCCAAUAAGAUUAUGAGUAUACUUCAAAUAAGUUUUGACGGACUACAAGAAUUAGAGAAGAAAAUAUUUCUCGAUAUUGCAUGUUUCUUUAAAUGGAAGACUAGAGAUUAUGUAUCGAAAAUUCUAAAAGGAUGUGGUUUUUCCCCAGUCAUUGGAAUAGAAGUUCUUAUUGAAAAAUCUUUAUUAACAGUACAUGAGAAUAACAGAUUGUGGAUGCAUGAUUUGAUACAAGAAAUGGGUCACCAAAUUGUUAGGAGACAAUCCCCCGACGAGCCUGGAAAACGCAGUAGAUUGUGGAAGGAAGCAGAUGUACACCAUGUGUUGUCACAAAAUACAGUAAGUGAAUAAUAAAGGGGAUCUAAAAGUAUUUAUUUUCCAGCUCAGCUCACUUCUUUUAGCUAGUUAAAUCUCUAACGAACAAAUUUGUUUAUAAUUUUCAGGGAAGUGAAGUAGUUGAAGGAAUAAUGGUUGAUGAUUAUUUCCUUCGUGGAAAUGAUGUGCAUUUAAGUGCUAAAGCAUUUUCACUGAUGACCAACCUAAGAUUGCUCAAAAUCAGUAAUGUGCAACUUCCUGAAGGCCUAGAAUACCUCUCGAACAGGUUGCGAUUACUUGAUUGGCAUCGGUGUCCUUUGAAAUCUUUGCCAUCAAAUUUGCAAUUGGAUAAAACUGUUGAAUUUAAAAUGUGCUACAGCCGCAUUGAAGAAUUAUGGAAGGGAAUCAAAGUAAGAUCAAUUUUUUUUUUGGUCACUAAUUAUUUUCAGUGAAUAAUUGUUGAUAACAAUUUUUUUAUUAUAGUAGUACAUGAAUUAAGAAAUAUCAUUUUAGCUCCUUUUUAUUUUCAACAGCCUUUAAACAUGUUGAGAGUCAUGAAACUCAGCCAUUCGGAGAAUCUGAUUAAGACACCAGACUUCACAAAGGUCCCAAACUUAGAGGUGUUGGAUCUUGAAGGAUGUACAAGGUUACGUGAAAUUCACCCGUCUUUGCUGCUUCACAAGGAGCUGAUCUUGUUGAAUUUGAAAGGCUGUACAAGUCUUACAACUCUUCCAGGCAAGAUUUUUAUGGAAUCUCUUAAAACGCUUAUUCUAUCUGGUUGCUUGAAAUUAAAGAAAUUUCCAGACAUUGUAGGAGGUAUGGAGUGUCUGCAGGAACUUCGUUUGGAUGGAAUUGAUAUCAAAGAACUACCUUUAUCUAUUGAGCUUUUGACCAGACUUGAAUUGUUAAAUUUGAAUGACUGCAGAAGUCUCGUGAGACUUCAUAGCAAUAUAAAUGGUUUGAAAUCCCUCAAAACUUUGAAUCUCUCAGGCUGCUUCAAACUUGAAAAUGUGCCUGAGACGCUUGGGCAAGUAGAAAGUUUGGAAAAACUUGAUAUAAGUGGUACAGCUGUAAGGCAACCUCCAUCGUCGAUUUUUCUUAUGAAGAAUCUUAAAGAACUAUCUUGUCGUGGGUGCAAAGGAUCACCAUCAUCUACAUCAUGGUUUCUGCGCUUCCCUAUCAAUUUGAUGCGAUGGAGUUCAGAUCUGGUGGCUUUGAGUUUGCCGUCUUCUCUGUCAGGUUUGUGUAGUUUAACGAAAUUGGAUAUCAGUUUCUGUGAUUUAGGGGAAGGAGCAAUCCCAAGUGGUAUUGGCAACUUAUGCUCAUUAAAAUGGUUGUUUCUGAGUGGAAACAAUUUUUUUACGCUGCCGGCAAGCAUUUACUGUCUUUCUAGUCUUUUGGGCAUUGAUUUAAAGGAAUGCAAAAUGCUUCAAAAUCUGCCUCGACUUCCAGCCAGUAUACAUUGGAUAUCGUUAGACGGUUGUGUUUUGUUGGAGACAUUAUCAGAUGUAUUAAAAUUAAACAAGCAUCGACUCCCGAGCUUAUUCCUUCAAUGUGUGGAUUGCUUGAAAUUGGCUGGCAACUAUGAUUUGGCGCUUUCACUGCUGAAAGAGUACAUUAAAAAUUCUGAGGUCAGUCUUUUACUCUCACCUGUGCUAACAUUAUGCCUAAAACUUAUGCAAUAUAUGUUAUGUCUUUUUAUUUUGUUUAUUUACUCACUUUUUUUUCCGUGGGGUUGCAGAAUAUGUCACUGUCGGACAAGUACAUUAAACAGAGUGGGGUCAGUUUCUUACACUGUCUCUCACCUGUUGCUAAAAUUAUGCCUAAAAAUUAUGCAUUGGUAUGGCUUUCUAAUAUAUAUAUAUAUAUAUAUAUAUAUUUUUUUUUUUUUUUUUUGUGGGUUUCAGGACCCUGUGAGAAGGUAUAACAUUGUUGUUCCUGGAAGUGAAAUCCCAGAGUGGUUCGAGUAUCAGAAUAAUGAGGGUUCUUCAAUAACAAUAACCACGCCUCCAAAGAUGUAUAAGAAUAGUAAGCUUGUGGGAUAUGCUAUGUGCUGUGUUUUUCAUGUCCCUAAAUAUUCACUUCCUUAUUAUACACAGUCGUUUCCAUAUCCCGUACAUGUGCUGCAUGUCACGCCUAACUACCCGGUUUCUAUUGGCAUUUCGUUUGGAAAGCAAUCUGGUCAGGCUAUGUCAGACCAUCUUUUACUACACUACAUGAAAUGGGAAAAUAUCAGUGAAGUGACAUUUGAUUCGCCGUCGGGAUUGGUGCUGAAGAGGUGUGGAAUCCAUCCAAUUUAUGUGCAUCAAGGGGAUAAGUUCAACCAAACAACUGAUCCGGUUUGGAAUUUGAAUGAAUUUGGUCACGAUUGUUCAGGAUCAACAUCCUUUACGCGUGGCCGUAAUGAUGACUUAGACAGGGCAGAAGCCAGUGGAAGUUGCUGCGGGCGUGAUGCAGGAUCAACGACGUCGUCUGAGCGAAGCUUUCUAAAGCGAAGUCUUGAAGAAUAUGUUGGGGCGGCUGAAGCUAGUGGAAGUGGCUGCUGUAAUGAUGAUGAGGAACCACAACCUAAAAGAUUUAAACAACUCGAAUGAAGGGCACAGCCUAGUGAAUAUUAUUUUCUCUGAGUCUACGUGUAACAGUGUAAGUGCGCAUCUCAAUUUCAAUUUUAUUUUCUUUGCAGAUAGCAUUUCAUUUACUUUCUUUUUAUUUAUUUAUUGUAUCUGUUCUCGCUACUUAUUUCCCUGUUAAACUACCAGAAAAUGCCUGGCUUGGGUCAAAACGUUGGACAGAAUCAGAAUGUGCCUUCCAUGAAUCAAAAUUGCAUUCGUGCCCCAUCAAAUCCAAGCUUUGAAUUUUGAGAUUUGAGGUGAAAAUAAAGGACCGAAGUAAAUACUCUGCUUUGUUUUAUUACUCUGUUUUUUUCUGCAAAAGAUACCGUACAUAGAUGCGAUGAGAGCUAGUUGUUUGGUAUACUUGAAGGGGCUCGGGAUUGAUGAAUUGCAUUGCUACGAGUCAACAAUAAACUAAUACUCUGCUCAUUGCAAUCUGGUUGAAUAUAUUCUCUCUAUUUUUUUUUUGUCUUUUCCCUCCCUCGUUUGGCAUAAAGCUUUGGUUAUUCUAGCUGAGUGAGUGGCCCAGCUAAGCUUAUUGUAAAUUGUAAAUGGUACUUGAAGCGGAUACGUAUUUUCGCUUGUUGAGAUUCUUAUUGAAUUUGCCUAGAUUUUCC